rnacentral:rRNA from 1 species
AGGAGCAGUAAUACCAAAGCGAGCACACACAAGGUCAUCUAGCCCUUGAGAUUUAAUCAACUGAGGGAUCUUGUAGAUAGAAUCUACAUCCUUCAUUGAAAUUACUGCUUUUU